GACGAACCGUGCGAACGUUGUUCGGAAUCACUGGGCUUAAAGGGCGCGUAGGCGGCUCGCGAGGUCGGGGGUGAAAUCCCGCAGCUUAACUGCGGAAGGGCCUCCGAUACCGGCGGGCUGGAGGAAGGUAGGGGUGCGCGGAACUUCUGGUGGAGCGGUGAAAUGCGUUGAUAUCAGAAGGAACGACCGGCGGCGAAAGCGGCGCACUGGACCUUUUCUGACGCUGAGGCGCGAAAGCUAGGGGAGCAAACGGGG
rnacentral:rRNA from 1 species